UACAGAGGUCUCAACCGUUGUUCGGAUUCAUUGGGCGUAAAGGGUGCGUAGGUGGCAUGGUAAGUCGGAUGUGAAAUCCCGGGGCUCAACCCCGGAACUGCAUUCGAUACUGCUGCGCUAGAGUACUGGAGAGGAGAUUGGAAUUUACGGUGUAGCAGUGAAAUGCGUAGAUAUCGUAAGGAAGACCAGUGGCGAAGGCGGAUCUCUGGACAGUUACUGACACUGAGGCACGAAGGCCAAGGGAGCAAACGGC
rnacentral:rRNA from 1 species